UACAGAGGGGGCAAGCGUUGUUCGGAAUUACUGGGCGUAAAGGGCGCGUAGGCGGCCUGUUAAGUCGAACGUGAAAUCCCUGGGCUCAACCCAGGAACUGCGUCCGAUACUGGCAGGCUUGAAUUCGGGAGAGGGAUGCGGAAUUCCAGGUGUAGCGGUGAAAUGCGUAGAUAUCUGGAGGAAUACCGAUGGCGAAGGCAGGUCUCUGGGCUGACACUGACGCUCAUGCACGAAAGCGUGGGGAGCAAACAGG
rnacentral:rRNA from 1 species